UUUGCUAAUUAUCUGAGUGAUCGCCAGCAGUAUAUAGAGUACAAAGAGUGUCAAUCGGAACCAUACGUAAGCGUAAGUCAAGGCAGCAAUCUAGGGCCGUUACAGUUUGCAAUAAUGGUGAACAAUUUACCAGAAUUAAUAAGACAUGCUAGAUGCCUUGUUUUUGUAGACUAACUAAAAUUACUCCUGUCAAUCCAAGGAGCGGACGACUGUGAACGCUUGCAAGGAGAUAUAAAUAGAGUAUGUGAGUGGAGCAAAAAAAAGCUACAAUUAAAUAAAUAUUAACAAAUGUGCCAUUGUGACAUUUAGUCGCGCCAAAUUGCCUCGUCAUCAUGAGGAGAACGUGUCAGGGGUGAUACUCAAACGGGAAACGUCAGUAAUAGACUUAGGAGUGCGAGUGGAUGCCCAAAUGAAUUUCGAAGAUCAUGUAGUGGACAUUUGCAAGACAGCAUACUCAAGGAUGGGAUUUGUGCUUCGAAAGGCAACAACGUUCACUAAUAUGAAAGCCAUCUCAAGCUUGUACAACGCUCUGGUAAAAGUAUGUUGGAAUGGUGGGGUACAGUAAAUUGGAAACCAGACGGGACUUACAGUUGGCCUACUACGUACUGAAAGUCUUGAGGAGUGUAGUGUGCAACCCGAGUGUACUCCAAGAACUGGGUUUCUUAGUACCUAUGGGACAUGCGCGACGGCGAAGGCCUAGGUUAUUUGCGAUACCAACGCCAAGAACCAGUCUGUUGCACAGAUCCCCGUUAUCCAGGACGUUGCGCCUACUAAAUGCUGUCUCCGCCACUAUCGACAUAUUUAUAUG